ensembl:lncRNA
GUACAGUAGUAAUAAUAAUAACAAUAAUAAAUAAAAAAUGUGUACUCUGGGUGAAAAAUACAAAUAUAUAAGUCAAGAUGAGUGCAGAGGAAAGAGGGUAAACUAGAUCCCAACUCUCUCAGCCCAUAUACGGUUCGAGGUCUCGAAGGGAAAUGCGCGUCGAUCAUAUAGAGGAGACUCGUCGGAUCCCUCAUAAAAUAAAAUCAGCAGCCUCCACAGACACCACACCAGCGUCCUCCACCUCCACAACCACCAGACCAGCAGGUGCAGCCUCCACAGACACCACACCAGCGUCCUCCACCUCCACAGACACCACACCAGCGUCAUCCACCUCCACAGACACCACACCAGCUACUGAUAUAAACAAAUACCAUCAAUGCCUCCAUGUUCCAUCUGGUGCGGAAUUUUAACAGGCAGUCAACUGAGCAGCUUUCUACAUUGACACCUUUAAAAUUACUGGCAUUUGGGGGAGCAAGAAAUCAAAACUUAAGAUAGAUCCAAUGAUGUACAAGUACAUUAUUGGCAUCAUCAAUGAACACAACCUCUGGACUGUGCCGGUUGUGCUGCCAUCCCAGAAGAGGGCUCUGUUCCUCGACCCAAUGGGGGAAAGGGCCAGAAAGAUUCAAAGAUGCCAGGGGAUGACAAUAUCAUUCCUGAGAGAGAAGGGGUGUAAUAUCUCCUGAUGGGCGUGUGGUACCCUUCCUCACCCAUGUGGACAAGAUAUUACUUCUUGUGGGGUCUUUGCCUUGACAUUGGCUGAAUGUGUUCUGAAGGGGGAGUUGAUUGUCUUUUCAAAUACGGACAAAGAUGUUUAACAUCAUGAGAGAAGAAAUAGCAGUCACUCUCCUCCAAAACACUGAUGACAUGAGCCAAUUGUGCCACUUCUGUGGGGAGGUGGACAAUAAUGAGGAAGACACUAACUGGAUUGGUUGUAACCGCUGCCCACGUUGGUUCCACCAGUCCUGUAUGAAAACCAUCUCAUCAUUGGAGGAUUAUGUGUGCGCUG